UACGUAGGGUGCAAGCGUUAAUCGGAAUUACUGGGCGUAAAGCGUGCGCAGGCGGUUAUGCAAGACAGAUGUGAAAUCCCCGGGCUCAACCUGGGAACUGCAUUUGUGACUGCAUGGCUAGAGUACGGUAGAGGGGGAUGGAAUUCCGCGUGUAGCAGUGAAAUGCGUAGAUAUGCGGAGGAACACCGAUGGCGAAGGCAAUCCCCUGGGACAUGACUGACGCUCAUGUACGAAAGCGUGGGGAGCAAACAGG
rnacentral:rRNA from 1 species